rnacentral:rRNA from 1 species
GACGUAGGGGGCCAGCGUUGCUCGGAAUUACUGGGUGUAAAGGGUUCGUAGGCGGUGUGGCAAGUCGGGAGUGAAAUCUCUGGGCUCAACUCAGGGGCUGCUUCCGAAACUGCCGUGCUAGAGUGUGAGAGAGGCGAGUGGAAUUACGGGUGUAGCGGUGAAAUGCGUAGAUAUCCGUAGGAACAUCCGAGGCGAAGGCGG